rnacentral:rRNA from 1 species
CCUACGGGUGGCUGCAGUGAGGAAUAUUGGUCAAUGGCCGUAAGGCUGAACCAGCCAAGCCGCGUGAAGGAAGAAGGUUCGAUGGUUUGUAAACUUCUUUUAUGGGGGAAUAAAGGCAUCCACGCGUGGAUAUUUGCAUGUACCUGAUGAAUAAGCAUCGGCUAACUCCGUGCCAGCAGCCGCGGUAAUACGGAGGAUGCGAGCGUUAUCCGGAUUUAUUGGGUUUAAAGGGUGCGUAGGUUGUUUUUUAAGUCAGCGGUGAAAGUUUGUGGCUCAACCAUAAAAUUGCCGUUGAAACUGGCAGACUUGAGUGUGUUUGAGGUAGGCGGAAUGCGUGGUGUAGCGGUGAAAUGCAGAGAUAUCGCGCAGAACUCCGAUUGCGAAGGCAGCUUACU